CCUACGGGAGGCAGCAGUGAGGAAUAUUGGACAAUGCACGCAAGUCUGAACCAGCCAUGCCGCGUGCAGGAAGACGGCUCUAUGAGUUUUAAACUGCUUUUGUACGAGGGUAAAUCCCGAUACGUGUAUCGGGUUGAAAGUAUCGUACGAAUAAGGAUCGGCUAACUCCGUGCCAGCCGCCGCGGUAAUACGGAGGAUUCAAGCGUUAUUCGGAUUUAGUGGGUUUAAAGGGUGCGUAGGCGGUUCGAUAAGUUAGAGGUGAAAUCCCGGGGCUCAACUCCGGCACUGCCUCUGAUACUGUCCAGCUAGAGUUUAGUUGCGGUAGGCAGAAUGUAUGGUGUAGCGGUGAAAUGCAUAGAGAUGAUACAGAACACCGAUUGCGAAGGCAGCUUACCAAACUACGACUGACGUUGAGGCACGAAAGCGUGGGGAGCAAACAGGAGUAGAUACCCGAGUAGUC
rnacentral:rRNA from 1 species